GAUGAACGCUGGCGGCGUGCCUAAUACAUGCAAGUCGAGCGAACAGACGAGGAGCUUGCUCCUCUGACGUUAGCGGCGGACGGGUGAGUAACACGUGGAUAACCUACCUAUAAGACUGGGAUAACUUCGGGAAACCGGAGCUAAUACCGGAUAAUAUAUUGAACCGCAUGGUUCAAUAGUGAAAGACGGUUUUGCUGUCACUUAUAGAUGGAUCCGCGCCGAAUUAGCUAGUUGGUAAGGUAACGGCUUACCAAGGCAACGAUGCGUAGCCGACCUGAGAGGGUGGUCAGCCACACUCGAACUGAGACACGGUCCAGACUCCUACGGGAGGCCGCAGUAGGGAAUCUUCCGCAAUGGGCGAAAUCCUGACGGAGCAACACCGCGUGAGUGAUGAAGGUCUUCGGAUCCUAGAGCUCUGUUAUUAGGGAAGAACAAAUGUGUAAGUAACUAUGCACGUCUUGACGGUACCUAAGCAGAAAGCCACGGCUAACUACGUG
rnacentral:rRNA from 1 species